rnacentral:rRNA from 1 species
AAUCAACGCUGGCGGCGUGCCUAACACAUGCAAGUCGAACGCGAAAGCCCCGCAAGGGGUCAGUAGAGUGGCAAACGGGUGAGUAACACGUGGGUGAUCUGCCUCAGAGUGGGGGAUAACGACCCGAAAGGGUCGCUAAUACCGCAUAACAUCCUGCCUUUGGAUAGGUGGAGAUCAAAGUUGGGGAUCCGCAAGGACCUGACGCUUGGAGAGGAGCCCGCGGCCGAUUAGCUAGUUGGUGAGGUAACGGCUCACCAAGGCAACGAUCGGUAUCCGGCCUGAGAGGGCGGACGGACACACUGGGACUGAGACACGGCCCAGACUCCUACGGGAGGCAGCAGUGGGGAAUUGUUCGCAAUGGGCGCAAGCCUGACGACGCAACGCCGCGUGGAGGAUGAAGAAUUCCGGUUCGUAAACUCCUUUCGAUCGGGAAGAACAGCUUUCGGGUUAAUAGCCUGGGAGUCUGACGGUACCGAGAGAAGAAGCCCCGGCUAACUCUGUGCCAGCAGCCGCGGUAAUACAG